CCGUGCUAGGUGGGGAGGUAGCGGUUCCCUGUACUCGAACGUAUUUUUGUGAAGUCUGCCCGAAGCACGUAGUGUUUGAAGAUUUCGGUCCUAUGCAAUAUGAACCCAUGAACCAUGUCAGGUCCUGACGGAAGCAGCAUUAAGUGGAUCCUCAUAUGUGCCGUAGGGUAGCCGAGAUUUAGCUGUCGACUUCGGUAACGUUUAUGAUAUGCGUUCGAUACAAAGGUGCAUGG
rnacentral:SRP_RNA from 1 species